rnacentral:lncRNA from 1 species
GAGAAAAAUAGGGUGCAGAGCUUAAGGCAUCCUGGAAAAACGUAUGUAGCGCCACAUCGCGAAAAUCUCUCUUCUAGGACCCCUCUCCCAAAACCGUUUCUUCGCCCUCUUCUCCCCCUUCUGCCUCCACUCUUUCUGGACUUCAGAUAUCUUUGAGAAGCCUGGACAUCAAUCUGCUUUAGAAGACUAGAAACUCUGCCUUUAUGUCUUUAAGGGAACAAUAGUCCUUAACUUUGAUACUGUGGCUCUUUAGCUCUUUUUUUCCCUAUAUUUUUAAUAUAGUUUUUUGGUAUUAUUUAGACCUCCUUAACCCCACGGUCAUAAAGGUAUUCUCCCAUCAUUUUUUUCUAUCCAUUAGCUUCAUAGUUUUACUUUUUUACAUUCAGUUAUCUAAUCCAUCUGGAGUUCUCCUUCCCAUAUGGUGUGAGAUAGGGAUCUAACUAUAUUUUUCUCCAUGGGGUGAGCAAAUUUUCCAACAACCCAUGUCAAACAAUCCAUUCUUUCCAAAUUGGUUUGGGGAAGUUUCCAAAUAGACAUGAGUAUGUUCUGAGCUCUCUGGUUUGUUCAUGUGUCAGUACCACAAGGUUUUGUCACUGUGGGUUUUUAGUUAGUCAUCAUGCUUGAAGGCCAAGUUCCCCAUUCCAAAUUCUUCUGUGUCAAGAUUGCUUUGUCUAUCCAUGGGCCUUUAUCCUCCCUUAUAAUUUUUAGAGUAAGUUUGUCAAGUUUAUGAGAACUGUGUUGGACUGAUGAAUAAAUUCAAGGAAAAGUGGCA